CGUGUAGGCGGCCUUGUAAGUCGGGCGUGAAAUCCUCUGGCUCAACCAGAGAACUGCACCCGAUACUGUGAGGCUUGAGUACAGGAGAGGAAAGCGGAAUUCCUGGUGUAGCGGUGAAAUGCGUAGAUAUCAGGAAGAACACCUGUGGCGAAGGCGGCUUUCUGGCCUGUUACUGACGCUGAGGCGCGAAAGCUAGGGGAGCGAACA
rnacentral:rRNA from 1 species